UACGUAGGGUGCAAGCGUUAAUCGGAAUUACUGGGCGUAAAGCGUGCGCAGGCGGUUCCGCAAGUCAGAUGUGAAAUCCCCGGGCUCAACCUGGGAACUGCAUUUGAAACUACGGAGCUAGAGUGUGUCAGAGGGGGGUAGAAUUCCACGUGUAGCAGUGAAAUGCGUAGAGAUGUGGAGGAAUACCGAUGGCGAAGGCAGCCCCCUGGGACAAUACUGACGCUCAUGCACGAAAGCGUGGGGAGCAAACAGG
rnacentral:rRNA from 1 species